UAUAAACACUGGUUAGGUGGGAAGGUAGAUUCUAGACACUGGUUAGGAGGGAAGGUAGAUUCUAGACACUGGUUAGGAGGGAAGGUAGAUUCUAAACACAGGUUAGGAGGGAAGGUAGAUUCUAAACACUGGUUAGGAGGGAAGGUAGAUUCUAAACACUGGUUAGGAGGGAAGGUAGAUUCUAGACACUGGUUAGGAGGGAAGGUAGAUUCUAAACACUGGUUAGGAGGGAAGGUAGAUUCUAAACACUGGUUAGGAGGGAAGGUAGAUUCUAGACACUGGUUAGGAGGGAAGGUAGAUUCUAAACACUGGUUAGAAGGGAAGGUAGAUUCUAGACACUGGUUAAGAGGGAAGGUAGAUUCUAAACACUGGUUAGGAGGGAAGGUAUAUUCUAAACACAGGUUAGGAGGGAAGGUAGAUUCUAAACACUGGUUAAGAGGGAAGGUAGAUUCUAAACACAGGUUAGGAGGGAAGGUAGAUUCUAAACACUGGUUAGGAGGGAAGGUAGAUUCUAAACACUGGUUAGGAGGGAAGGUAAAUUCUAAACACUGGUUAGGAGGGAAGGUAAAUUCUAAACACUGGUUAGGAGGGAAGGUAGAUUCUAAACACUGAUUAGGAGGGAAGGUAGAUUCUAAACACUGGUUAGGAGGGAAGGUAGAUUCUAGACACUGGUUAGGAGGGAAGGUAGAUUCUAAACACUGGUUAGGAGGGAAGGUAGAUUCUAGACACUGGUUAGGAGGGAAGGUAGAUUCUAAACACUGGUUAGGAGGGAAGGUAGAUUCUAAACACUGGUUAGGAGGGAAGGUAGAUUCUAAACACUGGUUAGGAGGGAAGGUAGAUUCUAGACACUGGUUAGGAGGGAAGGUAGAUUAUAAACACUGGUUAGGAGGGAAGGUAGAUUCUAAACACUGGUUAGGAGGGAAGGUAGAUUCUAGACACUGGUUAGGAGGGAAGGUAGAUUCUAAACACUGGUUAGAAGGGAAGGUAGAUUCUAGACACUGGUUAAGAGGGAAGGUAGAUUCUAAACACUGGUUAGGAGGGAAGGUAUAUUCUAAACACAGGUUAGGAGGGAAGGUAGAUUCUAAACACUGGUUAAGAGGGAAGGUAGAUUCUAAACACAGGUUAGGAGGGAAGGUAGAUUCUAAACACUGGUUAGGAGGGAAGGUAAAUUCUAAACACUGGUUAGGAGGGAAGGUAGAUUCUAAACACUGGUUAGGAGGGAAGGUAGAUUCUAAACACUGAUUAGGAGGGAAGGUAGAUUCUAAACACUGGUUAGGAGGGAAGGUAGAUUCUAGACACUGGUUAGGAGGGAAGGUAGAUUCUAAACACUGGUUAGGAGGGAAGGUAGAUUCUAGACACUGGUUAGGAGGGAAGGUAGAUUCUAAACACUGGUUAGGAGGGAAGGUAGAUUCUAAACACUGGUUAGGAGGGAAGGUAGAUUCUAAACACUGGUUAGGAGGGAAGGUAGAUUCUAGACACUGGUUAAGAGGAAGGUAGAUUCUAAACACAGGUUAGGAGGGAAGGUAAAUUCUAGACACUAGUUAGGAGGGAAGGUAAAUUCUAGACACUGGUUAAGAGGGAAGGUAGAUUCUAGACACUGGUUAAGAGGGAAGGUAGAUUCUAGACACUGGUUAGAAAGGAAGGUAGAUUCUAGACACUGGUUAAGAGGGAAGGUAUAUUCUAGAGACCAGUUAAGAGGGAAGGUAGAUUCUAGACACUGGUUAGGAGGGAAGGUAGAUUCUAGACACUGGUUAAGAGGGAAGGUAGAUUCUAGACACUGGUUAGGAGGGAAGGUAGAUUCUAGACACUGGUUAAGAGGGAAGGUAGAUUCUAGACACUGGUUAAGAGGGAAGGUAGAUUCUAGACACUGGUUAAGAGGGAAGGUAGAUUCUAGACACUGGUUAAGAGGGAAGGUAGAUUCUUAAUACACUGUAAUCUGUUGUUUUUGGUGAAGGAACUUCCAGCAUUGCUAACAUCUUAAGAAAAUGAUUUUGUCAUUUUUAAUCUUUGAGGCUUUUUUUUUUUUUUAAUUCAGUGUGUUGUUUGCUUUAUAUUUGUGUCCAGAUAGUUUGGGAUCAUUUAACUUAUUUCAUACAUUUGUUUGAGUUUCUAGUACAGUUUAUUCAGAGAAAUUUUUAAAUGUUUAUGAUAUACAGGGGAGGCUCUAAAGCUAAUCUUAGUAACUUGGAUAAAAAGCAUGAAAUGAGUGUAUGGAAUCUUCUGUAUCAUCACAAACAAAAGGGCCAUAAUAUCUAAAGAGAAUGCCUUAUUGUUAUCAAAGGAAGGAAAUGUCAGAUCGUUUAUCAAAAGUACAAUUACGUAAAUGUUUUGAUGAAAUCGUCAGGUGCAGGCCAUUCCAUGAUCAGUAGAUAAAUACAUCCUAAUAACAUUAUGUUCUGGGUAUGACCUGGAUCUAUUUCCCUUGUAUUAAUUCUCAAUUCUAGGUCUUCUUUAGAUGUAGUCUGGAUGGGUUCUAAGUAAAUUCAUAGCGUAAUAAAUUAAACAAUAUCUCUGCAGCAUAAUAAAUUUGUACUUACUGUAAGUCUGUUUGAUAACAAUGCUGGGUAGUAGAAAUCAUAAACAGUGAUGGGUAGUAGAAAUCAUAAACAGUGAUGGGUAGUAGAAAUCAUAAACAGUGAUAUGGGUAGUAGAAAUCAUAAACAGUGAUAUGGGUAGUAGAAAUCAUAAACAGUGAUAUGGGUAGUAGAAAUCAUAAACAGUGAUAUGGGUGGUAGAUAUC